UGUUAGGGAUCAGCGGCUAAGAAAUAGCCGCCUGAUUAGUCUCUCGUGAACCGCUAGCGGAGACUACGACGAGGGGCCACCACGUGGGCCCUCAGUGGGAUUACGCUAUCAUUAAUAUCGAUAUGCCAAGCCUGCUAUCACGGACAAAGGGUUGCGCCGCAACCCUGGAUAACAUAUAAACCCCUGUAUUCCAUGUAUUCUAAUACACCUUUCUUGAGAGUGACGGCAGUGACCAUACCUUCGGUAUGGCCACCCCGGCUGAGUCAUCAGUCGGCUUAGUCACGGGGCCUGGGUUCUAACAUCUGGUAGCGAUGCACUUGUUGCAUGCGAUUCUGGGGCGAGAACCAGGCCAGGGAAGGUCGGUCAGGUUACACGACACAACACUACACCGCUACGGUCGUCGAAUUCGCCAAGUCACUACCGUUGUGCUGCCUUCAGUUCAGGUCAUCGUUCCAAAACCCCGGAAAUUUUUUUAGGGGUGGCUGGGUACAGGUAGAGGCGAGUGGGGACGAGCCUCUCUAGUUGUCGGCGUCUCUUUGAGGGGUGAAGAUGGUGUCACCCUGGAGUCGCAGUAUCGACAAGGCCUCCGUGGGAGGAGGGGAGAGUGAGUAUGCACGAGUGGUAGGAGAGUUGGCAUGACUAUGACUACUCUCCAAGGAUGAGAGGUGAGAAGAAUGGCGAUGGCUAUCGACAUGUAUUGGUGUCAUAUCGUCUAGCAGUCUCAUCCUGUCGUCGUGGGAGUCACGCUCCGGCUGUCGAGGAGCUGGCUGAGUGAGUGAUGGUAUCGCUGGCUGAUGUCUGUGGAUGAUGUAUCCCAGAGUGACGAUGUCGGUGAUGGAGCUCACGGCAGUGCGACAUCAGACGUGGCGUCUGCACUGAGAGUAGCGAAGGUGCUGCGGUUCUGCCAGCUUUCCAUACCUUCCUACUGCCAUAAGGUGGACAGUCAAGUUCACAGGAGUGACGUCUUCUCCCCAAGGAGGCGCGCUCGACAAGAGGACGUAUCUUGCACUCGUUGUAGCAUGGUUGCUCCGAGUGAAUAGCCGACGGUCUUUGGUUCGGCUGCGCUUCAUAGGAACGGUUCGAGAGUCGUUUCAGCUGCGGUGGAGGGCAUCCCCAUGAAGGAUUCCGUUCAGCGUUGUCGUCAUACUCGGUUACGACGCAUCGAGGCCACUAUGUUGCGGAACUGGCGUGUGUGAGGCGAGUUUCCUGUCACUGGAACUGUUGAAGCCUAGUCGACGUGGUUGUCGGUGUUGAUCCGUCAGCUGCGAAGUUGGCUGUGUUUUGCCUUGUUAUUCUAGACAUUGACCCCGGGUUGAUGUCGUCGGCUGUGAUUGUUCUCUGGUCAUGAGGAGUUCAACGUGCUCGUGUAAGUUCUCGGUCGCUGAGAGCUGCACCUAUUGUAUGGAUAGUCUGAUCCAUAAGAUCUGUUGUUCACGGAGAUGUUUGUCUUGGACAUCUCGACGUCGAAUCAUGGUGCCUUUAUCGUGUAAGAUGGAAGUCGCUCCACGACUUCAUCUUAGGGGAGGGGGAUGUUAGGGAUCAGCGGCUAAGAAAUAGCCGCCUGAUUAGUCUCUCGUGAACCGCUAGCGGAGACUACGACGAGGGGCCACCACGUGGGCCCUCAGUGGGAUUACGCUAUCAUUAAUAUCGAUAUGCCAAGCCUGCUAUCACGGACAAAGGGUUGCGCCGCAACCCUGGAUAACAUAUAAACCCCUGUAUUCCAUGUAUUCUAAUACACCUUUCUUGAGAGUGACGGCAGUGACCAUACCUUCGGUAUGGCCACCCCGGCUGAGUCAUCAGUCGGCUUAGUCACGGGGCCUGGGUUCUAACAUCUGGUAGCGAUGCACUUGUUGCAUGCGAUUCUGGGGCGAGAACCAGGCCAGGGAAGGUCGGUCAGGUUACACGACACAACACUACACCGCUACGGUCGUCGAAUUCGCCAAGUCACUACCGUUGUGCUGCCUUCAGUUCAGGUCAUCGUUCCAAAACCCCGGAAAUUUUUUUAGGGGUGGCUGGGUACAGGUAGAGGCGAGUGGGGACGAGCCUCUCUAGUUGUCGGCGUCUCUUUGAGGGGUGAAGAUGGUGUCACCCUGGAGUCGCAGUAUCGACAAGGCCUCCGUGGGAGGAGGGGAGAGUGAGUAUGCACGAGUGGUAGGAGAGUUGGCAUGACUAUGACUACUCUCCAAGGAUGAGAGGUGAGAAGAAUGGCGAUGGCUAUCGACAUGUAUUGGUGUCAUAUCGUCUAGCAGUCUCAUCCUGUCGUCGUGGGAGUCACGCUCCGGCUGUCGAGGAGCUGGCUGAGUGAGUGAUGGUAUCGCUGGCUGAUGUCUGUGGAUGAUGUAUCCCAGAGUGACGAUGUCGGUGAUGGAGCUCACGGCAGUGCGACAUCAGACGUGGCGUCUGCACUGAGAGUAGCGAAGGUGCUGCGGUUCUGCCAGCUUUCCAUACCUUCCUACUGCCAUAAGGUGGACAGUCAAGUUCACAGGAGUGACGUCUUCUCCCCAAGGAGGCGCGCUCGACAAGAGGACGUAUCUUGCACUCGUUGUAGCAUGGUUGCUCCGAGUGAAUAGCCGACGGUCUUUGGUUCGGCUGCGCUUCAUAGGAACGGUUCGAGAGUCGUUUCAGCUGCGGUGGAGGGCAUCCCCAUGAAGGAUUCCGUUCAGCGUUGUCGUCAUACUCGGUUACGACGCAUCGAGGCCACUAUGUUGCGGAACUGGCGUGUGUGAGGCGAGUUUCCUGUCACUGGAACUGUUGAAGCCUAGUCGACGUGGUUGUCGGUGUUGAUCCGUCAGCUGCGAAGUUGGCUGUGUUUUGCCUUGUUAUUCUAGACAUUGACCCCGGGUUGAUGUCGUCGGCUGUGAUUGUUCUCUGGUCAUGAGGAGUUCAACGUGCUCGUGUAAGUUCUCGGUCGCUGAGAGCUGCACCUAUUGUAUGGAUAGUCUGAUCCAUAAGAUCUGUUGUUCACGGAGAUGUUUGUCUUGGACAUCUCGACGUCGAAUCAUGGUGCCUUUAUCGUGUAAGAUGGAAGUCGCUCCACGACUUCAUCUUAGGGGAGGAUGAUGUUAGGGAUCAGCGGCUAAGAAAUAGCCGCCUGAUUAGUCUCUCGUGAACCGCUAGCGGAGACUACGACGAGGGGCCACCACGUGGGCCCUCAGUGGGAUUACGCUAUCAUUAAUAUCGAUAUGCCAAGCCUGCUAUCACGGACAAAGGGUUGCGCCGCAACCCUGGAUAACAUAUAAACCCCUGUAUUCCAUGUAUUCUAAUACACCUUUCUUGAGAGUG
rnacentral:misc_RNA from 1 species